CCCUUAGAUGUUCUGGGCCGCACGCGCGCUACACUGACGGAUUCAACGAGCUUACAACCUUGGCCGAAAGGUCUGGGUAAUCUCCAAAAUCCGUCGUGAUGGGGAUAGAUUAUUGCAAUUAUUAAUCUUCAACGAGGAAUGCCUAGUAAGCGUGAUUCAUCAAAUCGCGUUGAUUACGUCCCUGCCCUUUGUACACACCGCCCGUCGCUCCUACCGAUUGAGUGUGUUGGUGAGGAGUUUGGAUUGGCCUCGGAAGGUGGUUCGCCACCGUCCGUAGCUGAGAAGUUCUCCAAACCGCCCCACUUAGAGGAAGGAGAAGUCGUAACA
rnacentral:rRNA from 1 species